UACAGGAGGUCUCAAGCGUUGUUCGGAUUCAUUGGGCGUAAAGGGCGCGUAGGCGGCGGGGUAAGUCUGGUGUGAAAUCUAGGAGCUCAACUCCUAAACUGCACUGGAUACUGCUCUGCUAGAGGACUGGAGAGGAGACUGGAAUUCACGGUGUAGCAGUGAAAUGCGUAGAUAUCGUGAGGAAGACCAGUGGCGAAGGCGGGUCUCUGGACAGUUCCUGACGGCUG
rnacentral:rRNA from 1 species